rnacentral:misc_RNA from 1 species
AAUCCUCAAAAGAAAAGCUUAACUGCUUUCUCUUUUGGAAUUGGAGAGUGCUGGCCUUCUGUUUGGGAAGCCCAGCUCCUCUGAAAUACAUUAGCGAUGUGACAUCCGCAUGGCACCACGCUUCUCUGGCAUUGAUAGUAUCUUCAUGCCUGAGCGUGUCGUGCAGCUGUGGAAAGCUUUGCUCGCUCAUAGCUUGAUGGGUCAGCCCAUCCUUUGACCA